rnacentral:rRNA from 1 species
CCAAGGAGUCUAACAUGUGUGCGAGUCACCGGGUCUUGCCCAGGCUCGGAGGCGAAAUGAAAGUGAAGGCCGAUCUGGGCGUCGGCUGCGGUGUGAUCCGUGUGUGCAAUAUCCCGUCGAUCCCUUGUGGAAGGCGGGGCCACCGGCGCAACACCGGCCCGUCCCGUCCGCAGCGUCGGUGGGGCGGAGCGAGAGCAUACACGUUGGGACCCGAAAGAUGGUGAACUAUGCCUGGGCAGGACGAAGCCAGAGGAAACUCUGGUGGAGGUCCGCAGCGAUUCUGACGUGCAAAUCGAUCGUCAGACCUGGGUAUAGGGGCGAAAGACUAAUCGAACCAUCUAGUAGCUGGUUCCCUCCGAAGUUUCCCUCAGGAUAGCUGGCGCUCGAGGGAGGCAGUCUCAUCCGGUAAAGCGAAUGAUUAGAGGCCUUGGGGCCGAAACGACCUCAACCUAUUCUCAAACUUUCAAUGGGUGAGAAGUCCGGCUUGCUCGACUGAAGCCCGGACGUCCCAGGAUGCGAGUGCCCAGUGGGCCACUUUUGGUAAGCAGAACUGGCGCUGUGGGAUGAACCAAACGCUGGGUUAAGGCGCCCGAUGCGAGACGCUCAUCAGAUCCCAUGAAAGGUGUUGGUUGCUAUAGACAGCAGGACGGUGGCCAUGGAAGUCGGAAUCCGCUAAGGAGUGUGUAACAACUCACCUGCCGAAGCAACUAGCCCUGAAAAUGGAUGGCGCUGUAGCGUCGAGCCCAUACCCGGCCGCCCCGGCUGGGCGCGGAAGCUUAUGCCGGGGUGAGUAGGAGGUGUCGCAGCGGCGUGCGUUGAAGGUGCCGGGCGUGGGCCCGCCUGGAGCCGCCGCUGGUGCAGAUCUUGGUGGUAGUAGCAAAUACUCAAGUGAGAACCUUGAGGACUGAGGUGGAGAAGGGUUCCAUGUGAACAGCAGUUGAACAUGGGUCAGUCGGUCCUAAGGGAUAGGAGAAAUCCGUUCCGAAGCGGGACCUGCGUGCGCCGUAAGGUCCCGUGGUCGACCGAAAGGGAAUCGGGUUAAUAUUCCCGAACCCGGAUGCGGAGAUCGGCCCUUCGGGGUCAACUGCGGUAACGCAACCAAACUCGGAGACGUCGAUCGGGGUCCCGGGAAGAGUUGUCUUUUCUUUGUAAGGGAUCGGCUCCCUGGAAUCGGCUCGCCCGGAGAUAGGGAUGCUGUUCCCGUAAAGCACCGCGGCUCUUGCGGUGUCCGGAGCGCUCCGGUCGGCCCUUGAAAAUCCAGGGCGAGUGUGAUUUUCGUGCCGGACCGUACCCAUAUCCGCAGCAGGUCUCCAAGGUGAACAGCCUCUAGUCGAUGGAACA